GUGUGCGCGGGGGGGUCUCUGCUCUUGGCCCCGGGCCCGGCCCGGGUUUGCCUGUGUCUAGGGCUCGCAGCGAUGUUCCCAGGCUCCCGGGGCGGCUGUCAGUGUCCCCGGCGGAUCAGUGGCCGAUCGCUCUCUGCCCUCACUUUCCUUGCGGGGUUCUCCCCAUGGAAACUCGGCUCCGGAGUGAGCCUGUGGGGCAGUAGCUUCCUGACACUCGUCUGUAGGGGAUAGUCUGGCUCGAGUGUCACCGUGGUACUGAGACUCCUGCCUCGCGCCUGCUGGCUGCACCCUCUGCUGCACGGUGCUUUGUGGUGUCCCCGGGGGGAGUCUGCACCUAAACAUUCUGCACACAAGAGUUUAAAAUUCGGCAAGUUUUAUUUGUCAAUAACUAAAUGCAGAGGCUCCAGCAUGGCCGCGGGGAGCACAGGCCACGGGCUGUAUGAAGAUGGGAGAUCACCCUGCAGCCUCCCCUCCCCCGGACACGGAUUCAGGGUUUCUGCAGGUGGUGGAGGAACAUCCCAGUUCUGCUUUGCAGCCAUUGGUGGAGGAACUCCUGGGUCCACACAGUAUUUCUUUGCAGAACUGUAGGUGGGAGGUUUCAAACAGCGUGGUUAGCCGUUGAGCUACAGAUUUCCUUGGAAGAGGCUCAGGUGGCCAUGCCUGCUCCACGCACCAGGCGAUCCUCCGCUUGGAGCAAUGCUGAUCUGCUGGAC